GCCCUCCCCUUCCCUCCAGAAGGGGAAGGUGCUUUCUCCAGCGGGGUUUUUGGGUCCCCUCCCUUCCCCGGACGAGAUUGUUUAUAGCUUUUGAUUUAGUAGGUUUGGGCAGAUCGGUGCUUACUUUGUGAGGGACUCCUUGGAUCUGCAAUGGUUCUGCUGCUGGAGUUUGUGGGUGAAGCAUAGGUUCUGUGUUAUAGGAGAGGUGAGUUCCCAGAGCCA
rnacentral:misc_RNA from 1 species